rnacentral:tRNA from 1 species
GUCGGUAUGGUGGAAUUGGCAGACACAGGGGACUUAAAAUCCCCUCUAGUUAAGUGGGUGCAGGUUCGAGUCCUGCUACCGACA